rnacentral:lncRNA from 1 species
AGCCUAGUGUUUUUCUGUCGGUAUACUUGUACAUAUGUUUGUACUCAGAAUUUAUCUUAUAUUGUCUUUAAUACUACUAAAAAUACAUUGUAGUUUAAUAUUUUCUGAUUCAAAAUAAUCACUAAAUGUUUGUUGUUUAUUCAAAUGUCACUCAUAGUAUAGGGUCUUGGAGGCCAACUUGACCAUGAAAAACAUUGAACUUGCAGAUAUCUUGAAAAUAAACCAGGCAUUUAGAACUUGAUCUGUUCAGCUCUUUUUUUUUUUUUUGUACUUAUCUAUUUUUCAGACUCUACAGUCAUAAAAUAGCCAGGAAAACCAGGAAUUUAGAAUAAAGUCAAGAAAAUGACUGAAGGCCAAGAAAUUAAACCAGUGGACAAUUCACCUAGCACAAGAAGCAUGGUGGACUAUAAAGACAUUGGUCACUGAAGUUAUAUAAGCAUGCAGAAAAAGAAGCAGAAAAGCAUAUAUUAAGUAAAAGACAAAACCAAGAUUGCUGUGAAAAUAUCUCUCUUACAGAAGAUUUCAGGACCUUUGCAACUUCAAUUUUCUUAUUUUGUUUUGAUGCAUUUGUUUUUAAAAUAAAUGGCACAUGAGGACCUCCAUUUUUGACAGGUUAAGCUACUACCUUCCAAUUUAAGAUAAUCCCCAAUCCAGGAAUCAAUGAAGUCAUGCUAUAAAUUGCAUUCAUGUCCACAGAGAAGCAGAGGAUUGAGAUGGAAUCACAUUGAAACUGUGACGCCUUCUGCCAGAAAUAACUUCGUGUAAAGUGUAGGAGACAUCACGCAAGAGGUUACUGUGGGGAGACAGGCUUAAAUGAUAAGAUCCUCACUCUAAGAAUAAAUGAAUAAUGUCUAUGCUGCUUCAUUACUUUUGUUCCCCGUUACAAAGAUAAAGUUAAUUAUUUGGAGAUAGCAUAGAAGACUGUUUAUUGAAUGUGACAUGCUAGAUGCAAUUCUGGAUUGCAGUAUAUUGUAAUAUUAAAGAUCAAGGGACUUUUAAUAGGAAUCAAAUACAAUUUUUAAUUGAG